AGCGAACGCUGGCGGCAGGCCUAACACAUGCAAGUCGAGCGCCGUAGCAAUACGGAGCGGCAGACGGGAGAGUAACACGUGGGAACGUGCCCUUUGGUUCGGAAUAACCCAGGGAAACUUGGGCUAAUACCGGAUAAGCCCUUACGGGGAAAGAUUUAUCGCCGAAGGAUCGGCCCGCGUCUGAUUAGCUAGUUGGUGGGGUAACGGCCCACCAAGGCGACGAUCAGUAGCUGGUCUGAGAGGAUGAUCAGCCUCACUGGGACUGAGAGACGGCCCAGACUCCUACGGGAGGCAGCAGUGGGGAAUAUUGGACAAUGGGCGCAAGCCUGAUCCAGCCAUGCCGCGUGGGUGAUGAAGGCCCUAGGGUUGUAAAGCCCUUUCGGCGGGGAAGAUAAUGACGGUACCCGCAGAAGAAGCCCCGGCUAACUUCGUGCCAGCCGCCGCGGUAAAAC
rnacentral:rRNA from 1 species